rnacentral:misc_RNA from 1 species
UUUCCGUAGGUGAACCUGCGGAAGGAUCAUUAAUGAGUUGUCAUGGGGUUCGAUGCUGGCAGCCAGUUUUUGGAUGCAUGUGCUUGCCCUAACAAUCAUCUUCUUCCAAACACCUGUGCACAUUUUUGAGGGAGUCUCGAGUUGGUUGCCGCUCUUGGGUGAUUUUCUCACAUUCCCUUAAAUCAUUAUACGCUAUUAACAAUGUUGAACGUGCUCUGUGCCGCAAGGCCAUUAAUAUAAUACAACUUUUAACAACGGAUCUCUUGGCUCUC